ACGUAGGGUGCGAGCGUUAAUCGGAAUUACUGGGCGUAAAGCGUGCGCAGGCGGUUUAGUAAGACAGGCGUGAAAUCCCCGGGCUCAACCUGGGAACUGCGCUUGUGACUGUUAAGCUAGAGUACGGGAGAGGGGGGUGGAAUUCCACGUGUAGCGGUGAAAUGCGUAGAGAUGUGGAGGAACACCAGUGGCGAAGGCAGCCCCCUGGGCCAAUACUGACGCUCAUGCGCGAAAGCUAGGGUAGCAAACAG
rnacentral:rRNA from 1 species